rnacentral:rRNA from 1 species
GACGAACGCUGGCGGCGUGCCUAAUACAUGCAAGUCGAACGCAGUGGGGACGGGUGAGUAACACGUGGGUAACCUCCCAUCAGAGGGGAUAACACUUGGAAACAGGUGCUAAACCGAUACGGAUGUAUGUACCCGCGUGGCAUUAGAUAGAUGGUGGGGUAACGGCUCACCAAGGCCACGAUGCAUAGCCGACCUGAGAGGGUGAUCGGCCACACUGGGACUGAGACACGGCCCAGACUCCUACGGGAGGCAGCAGUAGGGAAUCUUCGGCAAUGGACGAAAGUCUGACCGAGCAACGCCGCGUGAGUGAAGAAGGUUUUCGGAUCGUAAAACUCUGUUGUUAGAGAAGCGGUAUCUAACCAGAAAGCCACGGCUAACUACGUGCCAGCAGCCGCGGUAAUAC